rnacentral:rRNA from 1 species
ACGCACGCUGGCGGCGUGCUUAACACAUGCAAGUCGAACGGAAAGGCCCUGCUUUUGUGGGGUGCUCGAGUGGCGAACGGGUGCGUAACACGUGAGUAACCUGCCCUUGACUUUGGGAUAACUUCAGGAAACUGGGGCUAAUACCGGAUAGGAGCUCCUGCUGCAUGGUGGGGGUUGGAAAGUUUCGGCGGUUGGGGAUGGACUCGCGGCUUAUCAGCUUGUUGGUGGGGUAGUGGCUUACCAAGGCUUUGACGGGUAGCCGGCCUGAGAGGGUGACCGGCCACAUUGGGACUGAGAUACGGCCCAGACUCCUACGGGAGGCAGCAGUGGGGAAUAUUGCACAAUGGGCGGAAGCCUGAUGCAGCAACGCCGCGUGCGGGAUGACGGCCUUCGGGUUGUAAACCGCUUUCGCCUGUGACGAAGCGUGAGUGACGGUAAUGGGUAAAGAAGCACCGGCUAACUACGUG